rnacentral:rRNA from 1 species
UACGUAGGGGGCUAGCGUUGUCCGGAUUUAUUGGGCGUAAAGAGCGCGUAGGCGGCCGAGUAAGUCCGACGUGAAAUCUGGAGGCUCAACCUCCAGCGGUCGUUGGAAACUACUCGGCUAGAGUCCGGAAGAGGAGAGUGGAAUUCCUGGUGUAGCGGUGAAAUGCGCAGAUAUCAGGAAGAACACCCGUGGCGAAGGCGGUUCUCUGGGACGGUACUGACGCUGAGACGCGAAAGCGUGGGGAGCGAACAGG